rnacentral:rRNA from 1 species
UAGAGGAAGUAAAAGUCGUAACAAGGUUUCCGUAGGUGAACCUGCGGAAGGAUCAUUACCGAGUUGAUUCGGGCUCCGGCCCGAUCCUCCCACCCUUUGUGUACCUACCUCUGUUGCUUUGGCGGGCCGCGGUCCUCCGCGGCCGCCCCCCUCCCCGGGGGGGUGGCCAGCGCCCGCCAGAGGACCAUCAAACUCCAGUCAGUAAACGAUGCAGUCUGAAAAACAUUUAAUAAACUAAAACUUUCAACAACGGAUCUCUUGGUUCUGGCAUCGAUGAAGAACGCAGCGAAAUGCGAUAAGUAAUGUGAAUUGCAGAAUUCAGUGAAUCAUCGAAUCUUUGAACGCACAUUGCGCCCUUUGGUAUUCCGAAGGGCAUGCCUGUUCGAGCGUCAUUACAACCCUCAAGCUCUGCUUGGUAUUGGGCACCGUCCUUUGCGGGCGCGCCUCAAAGACCUCGGCGGUGGCGUCUUGCCUCAAGCGUAGUAGAACAUACAUCUCGCUUCGGAGCGCAGGGCGUCGCCCGCCGGACGAACCUUCUGAACUUUUCUCAAGGUUGACCUCGGAUCAGGUA